UGGAAAUACAACUGAGAAGUUUACUGGCCGGUCUUCGUUUUCUGUCGACACAUCUGCUUACCGAGCUUCUCACAUUU